rnacentral:rRNA from 1 species
AUUGAACGCUGGCGGCAGGCCUAACACAUGCAAGUCGAGCGGUAGCACAGAGAGCUUGCUCUCGGGUGACGAGCGGCGGACGGGUGAGUAAUGUCUGGGAAACUGCCUGAUGGAGGGGGAUAACUACUGGAAACGGUAGCUAAUACCGCAUAACGUCGCAAGACCAAAGUGGGGGACCUUCGGGCCUCAUGCCAUCAGAUGUGCCCAGAUGGGAUUAGCUAGUAGGUGGGGUAACGGCUCACCUAGGCGACGAUCCCUAGCUGGUCUGAGAGGAUGACCAGCCACACUGGAACUGAGACACGGUCCAGACUCCUACGGGAGGCAGCAGUGGGGAAUAUUGCACAAUGGGCGCAAGCCUGAUGCAGCCAUGCCGCGUGUGUGAAGAAGGCCUUCGGGUUGUAAAGCACUUUCAGCGGGGAGGAAGGCGGUGAGGUUAAUAACCUCAUCGAUUGACGUUACCCGCAGAAGAAGCACCGGCUAACUCCGUGCCAGCAGCCGCGGUAAUACGGAGGGUGCAAGCGUUAAUCGGAAUUACUGGGCGUAAAGCGCACGCAGGCGGUCUGUCAAGUCGGAUGUGAAAUCCCCGGGCUCAACCUGGGAACUGCAUUCGAAACUGGCAGGCUAGAGUCUUGUAGAGGGGGGUAGAAUUCCAGGUGUAGCGGUGAAAUGCGUAGAGAUCUGGAGGAAUACCGGUGGCGAAGGCGGCCCCCUGGACAAAGACUGACGCUCAGGUGCGAAAGCGUGGGGAGCAAACAGGAUUAGAUACCCUGGUAGUCCACGCCGUAAACGAUGUCGAUUUGGAGGUUGUGCCCUUGAGGCGUGGCUUCCGGAGCUAACGCGUUAAAUCGACCGCCUGGGGAGUACGGCCGCAAGGUUAAAACUCAAAUGAAUUGACGGGGGCCCGCACAAGCGGUGGAGCAUGUGGUUUAAUUCGAUGCAACGCGAAGAACCUUACCUGGUCUUGACAUCCACAGAACUUUCCAGAGAUGGAUUGGUGCCUUCGGGAACUGUGAGACAGGUGCUGCAUGGCUGUCGUCAGCUCGUGUUGUGAAAUGUUGGGUUAAGUCCCGCAACGAGCGCAACCCUUAUCCUUUGUUGCCAGCGGUCCGGCCGGGAACUCAAAGGAGACUGCCAGUGAUAAACUGGAGGAAGGUGGGGAUGACGUCAAGUCAUCAUGGCCCUUACGACCAGGGCUACACAUGUGCUACAAUGGCAUAUACAAAGAGAAGCGACCUCGCGAGAGCAAGCGGACCUCAUAAAGUAUGUCGUAGUCCGGAUUGGAGUCUGCAACUCGACUCCAUGAAGUCGGAAUCGCUAGUAAUCGUAGAUCAGAAUGCUACGGUGAAUACGUUCCCGGGCCUUGUACACACCGCCCGUCACACCAUGGGAGUGGGUUGCAAAAGAAGUAGGUAGCUUAACCUUCGGGAGGGCGCUUACCACUUUGUGAUUCAUGACUGGGGUGA